GCGAACGCUGGCGGCAUGCUUAACCCAUGCAAGUCGCGCGGGUGGUUUCGGCCAUCAGCGGCGGACGGGUGAGUAUCGCGUAGGAAUGUAGCCCGAGGUGGGGGACAACCCUGGGAAACUGGGGCUAAUACCGCAUGGGGCCUGUGGGCCAAAGCCUUAGGGCGCCUUGGGAGCAGCCUGCGUCCGAUUAGGUAGUUGGUGGGGUAAAGGCCUACCAAGCCUGCGAUCGGUAGCUGGUCUGAGAGGACGAUCAGCCACACUGGGACUGAGACACGGCCCAGACUCCUGCGGGAGGCAGCAGUGGGGAAUAUUGGACAAUGGGCGCAAGCCUGAUCCAGCAAUGCCGCGUGGGUGAAGAAGGUCUUCGGAUUGUAAAGCCCUUUCGGCGGGGACGAUGAUGACGGUACCCGCAGAAGAAGCCCCGGCUAACUUCGUG
rnacentral:rRNA from 1 species